rnacentral:lncRNA from 1 species
AUUGAAGUCUGGAGCUGGCAUGUCAGUUAACUGCUAGUAGUCUGUUGUUAUUUAUGCAUUAUUGUCAUUUUGUUUAUUUUCUUUGGUUACAUCUUCUGACAUCAGACUCGGACUUCUCUUGGACUGAAUUUUAAUGUGCGUAUUGUUAUGCGUUUACUUUUCUACAUUGGUUAGAGGUAUAGGGGGAGGGUUGAGAUCUCACAAACAUGUUUAACCCCGCCGCAUUUUUGCGCCUGUCCCAAGUCAGGAGCCUCUGGCCUUUGUUAGUCUUGUAUCAUUUUAAUUUUAGUUUCUUGUGUACAAUUUGGAAAUUAGUAUGGCGUUCAUUAUCACUGAACUAGUAUAUAUUUGUUUAGGGGCCAGCUGAAGGACGCCUCCGGGUGCGGGAAUUUCUCGCUACAUUGAAGACCUGUUGGUGACCUUCUGCUGUGGUUUUUUUUCUAUGGUCGGGUUGUCUCUUUGGCACAUUCCCCAUUUCCAUUCUCAAUUUUAUUAACUGUAUCUGUAGUAUCCUUUAUCUCUAGCUCGAUUGGAUAGAUGCGUUC